GGCCUUGUAUUUGAUAGCUACCAACGGGACACCAGAACUCCAGAAUCCCGAAAGACUUUCUGUGGUUUUCCGGGAUUUUUUGAACCGCUGCCUUGAGAUGGAUGUUGACAGGCGAGGGUCUGCGAAAGAACUCUUGCAGCACCCGUUUUUAAAACUGGCCAAGCCGCUAUCCAGCCUGACCCCCUUGAUUAUUGCUGCAAAAGAAGCUAUCAAGAACAGUAGCCGCUAGUUGCUCGAAUAGCACAGGCCUUGGCAGGACUGAACACCAGACCAACAAACUCUGUCACACCUUGGACUCUGCUGUGGCCGGACGGGCAGGCGAUGAGCCGCAUUGUCACUGUCAAUGGGGGAAGGGAAGCGGGAAUGACACCACUGAUCACAUCUCUUCUUUCCACUCUUUGAGAAUCCCUUAAUUUAUUUCUGAGGUGAAUGGAAGCUUCUGGAGCAGAAGCUAGACUGGACGUUUCUUUUGCUCCGUGCAGCGGUGUUUCCAGGGGACCACAGCACUGCAUGAUCAAACUCACUGGGACAAGAGUGCUAACACCCCCCCUCCACACACACACAAAAACAGCUCUCCUUUUUUGGGGGGCUUUCCAAAAGGAGGAGAACAAUCCUUUUUCUGCUUCACCUCACCAGGAAGAACCCAAACUGUUCCCUAGCUCCUGAUCAGCGGGCUUUGGUUCUAAGAAGAAGAGAAUCACCAAGGAAGGCUUGCUUUAUUUAACCAAAAAGAAAAAAAGAAAGAAUAUCAUAAUAACAGUGAGGACGAUGAUGACGAUGACAGUAAACCCAGAAGUUGAUCGAUAGCAGCAUCUUCUUGUGGGGAUGGGGUGGGGUGGUUAUCCUUUGGAAUAGAUGAGACAGAGAGCAUUGCAGUUCUGAGAGCCUAAAAGAGAACAAUGUCGUUAUGUUGAUGACGUCACCUUGGCGUCAUGGUGAUGAUGUCACGAUGCAUAUUGGUGCUUUUGUGUUGAUGAGUUUUUUUCCCUCUCCCCCCCAAUGAAAAAGAAAAGAGGUUGACGUAGAGAAAAGAACCAGGAGAGCUGAUUUGAAUGGAAUGGCAAAUGCUUUUGUAUCUGGCAAUAGGAUCGGUGCCUAUCCUCUUCUCCAGAAUCCUGAGCACUUCUUCUCCAGAGCAUCUCCUGAGGCUCAUUUCUCCAGGGUUGCUCCAUUCCACAUUCUGGAGGGUCAGGCUCACUCCCUAUUUAUUGUCUGAAUUGCCCCAUGCUUAAAUUCAAAUCCACGGGAAGAAAUGUCCUUUCAAAUUGGAGAACUUCUUAAUAUGAAACCUGAUCAGUCAUCCUGCCCACCCAUAAAUCUUGCAGGAAAGAAAGUCUCCCAGGGCAUCAGCCUGAAUCCAGGUGAAAGCUCACUUCAAAC